rnacentral:rRNA from 1 species
AACGAACGCUGGCGGCAUGCUUAACACAUGCAAGUCGAACGGAACGGCCCUGCUUGGUGGGGGACGGGGGGGUAAACCGUGGGAACAUACGCGUGGGUUCUGCCCAACUUCCUGGGAGAGGUCUUAGUAACGGGUAAUAUCUUCGGACCAGAGAUUUGUGGCCGUGGGGUGGUGGCGCGAUGGAUUUGGUGGUUGGUAGGGUAAGAGCCUAACAAGGUGACGCUGCAUAGCUGGGCUGAGCGGAUGAUCAGCGACACUGGGACUGAGACACGGCCCAGGCUCGUACGGGAGGCAGCAGUGGGGAAUAUUGGACAAUGGGCGAAAGCCUGAUCCAGCAAUGCCGCGUAAGUGAUGAAGGCCUUAGGGUUGUAAAGCUCUUUUACCCGGGCUGAUAAUGACAGUACCGGGAGAAUAAGCACCGGCUAACUACGUG